GCGAGGGAGUGAUGGAGAAAGAAAGGUUGAACUUGGCUUGUACAGAUAUCGAGAUAGAGAGCGAGGGAGCGAAAGCUAAUCCGAGUAAGAUGGGUUUUGAUUGUAUGAGCUUAAUGUCUGUGUUCAAGGUGUGCGAAGCAGCGGAGAAUAUAGAAUUUCAGACUAAAUCUUCUCCAACACAGCACAAAGGAUAGUUUCUGAGAAAGAUGGAAAAUGGUCGAUAAAGCCAACAGAGCUGUAAGCCCCUUUUUAUCUUUUCUCGCCAAAAGGUAAUCCCUAUCUUAAAGUUUUGAUCUUUUUAAGUUUUUGGCUUCUGGGUUUUGUGGGGUUUUGAGGUACGUUUUGUCGUUUUGAAGUGAAAUGGCCCGAAUGGGUAGGAAAGUUUGGAACUUUGUGGUAUUAAUUACCUUUUGCUUUAUGGGUUUUUUAGGUUUUGAAUGCAAACGUAUGGGUGGUCUAGGCUCUGUAUACAGUCUCAGCGCUGCCUAACCUUCUGCAUAACCAUCUGCUGUAUUGCUUUUGACCUUUUGUAAUGUCAAAGAUUAAAAUCGCAGACCUCAUCUAUAGGCGAUAGAAGAGAAAGCACUUGGUUUUUGAACAUGGCUUCUCAGGUAUAGAUAUAGUUAAGAACUCCAUGAAAUUUGCGCAUCGGAAAAUAGGAGAUAGUUAUAUAUGCUGAUUGAUGUAUUGUAAUGUCAAUUUACAAGUGGCAAAAUGGUUUUGUUCGGGGCACCAAUAAUUCAAUCACUCAAAUCAAAUGUGUUCUUCUUAAAGAAGAUAUUGAAGUUAAGCAGCCAGGACAUAAUUGGCUCUGGAGGGUAGGGACAGUUUAUAUACUUACAUAGUAGAUGACACCAUGCCCUUUGCUGUGAAAAGACUGAACAGGGGAAGUGCAUAUAGAGAUCGAGGAUUUGAGAGAGAACUUGAAGCAAUGGGGGAUACAAAGCACCGGAACAUCAUGACUCUUCUUAUAUACGAACUGGUAGCUAAUAGAAGCUUGGAUUGAGUGCUUCAGGGAAGAUCACUGUCCAACAAGCGUUUGGAUUGGCUGUCCAGAUACAAAAUAGCACUAGGUGCUGCAAGAGGAAUAUCAUAAUUUCAUCUUUGAGAAGUUACUGAAAGGCUUGAUUGGAUUUGAAAUUUUCAGUUUCAAAUGAAGCUUACUUCUAUAUGCAUGUUAUCUUCAUAGUGUGCAUAUAUUUAUAUUCGUGUUACGGUUAAAGCAUCACAGAAAACUAUAUGAAGCUUAUGUCCCGAUGAAGUACAAAAUCUACCUGAGGAAGAUGAAAAAAAAAGGCGAGUGGGGAGUUCAUCUUACCCCACAGGCAACUGCAGACAGAGCAAGUUCCAGCUCUACGCCUUUCAAUUUUUUAUAUAUUGCUACACAUGUUUGCCUCCUUAUUAUGAUAAAUAGAAGCACCAACCUUAUUAUCAAGGCUAACAGGUUUCAGAAUGCAUACCACAUCAACAAGAGAGCUAAUGGAACUGCCAAGAAACCAGCACCCAGACUAGCUAGGAGAUGAGUGAAAAUAUUGUCAGCGAACCCUGGAAAUUUCAAAACUGUUUGCAUAAGUAUGAAGAAUCAGGACUGAUUGGGAUUAUCAUAUUCUAACAACUUUAUUAAGCAGGUCCAGUUCAUUAUGAACCAGUUUGGUGUUUGGUUGCUGGGGAAGAUCAAAUUUUUAAAUUCUAAGAAUUUGAAUUUCUGCUAUUAGUUUAUUUUUGGGAUUUGAGGAUAUCAACAUGCAACCAUAGAUAAAUUGAUGAGUUAUCGUUGUGUUAUGUUUUAGUUAGAUAAUAUAUAGAAUGAUGAGUGUACUGAAUUUGUAAAAAUUUGUGCUUUGGAAUUUGUGAAGGUAAAAGGUUUGGUGUUGCAGAAAUGGCUACUAGAGCUGUAUCAACUUCCUUUACGGGGCUAAACAGCAGGGAGACGAUGUUGGGUUUACC